rnacentral:lncRNA from 1 species
CAGCGUAGGUGACAGAGUGAGACCCCGUUCCAAAGACAAAAAAGCCGUUAAAGUGCUUCAUAACAGGAGACCCCCAACACCUGGGGGAAGGGGCUUAGGUGAUCAUAACACCUGGGGGAAAGGGCUUGAGUGACCCACAGAGCUGGCUCUUGUAGCAGCCAGUUUGGUCUGGUCUGUCUGGGGUACUGGCUGCUUCUGCCCCUCUCUCCUCCACCUCCUCCUCCUUUUCUGUCUUCUUCCCCCUCUGCCCCUCUCCUCCUCUCCCUCUUCUCCUCUCUCUCCUCCUCUCCUUUCUCACCCCCUGCUCCUCCUCCUCCCUGUCCACUGAGGAGCACAGGGCACCUGAAUUGGCCAUCACAGGCCAAGCAUGGGAAGCCUCUGGCUCCUGGAACAGAUUUAGAGCAGGAGGAACCUUCCAGAACCCAUUCUGUGCCAGAUUCAGAUGGGGAAACUGAGGCCAAGCAAGAGACCCCCCGCGAGCUCAGCCUCGUCCUCCCCUGGAACCUUCGGGAGAGUAUCGCCACCUCCAGGGAGCAGCCAGGCCUGGAUACCCGCCCCAGGCCCUGGCUCUGCCUCUGAUCACAACCCCCCACCAGGGCUGGCCUCUCCUCAAACCUGGGCACAGCCUAGUGCCAAGCCCUUGCUGAGGGCCCCUGCUGCAUCCCCAGUCACCAGCCUGGAGAGGACACCCGGGCUGCUCUCUACACUGCCAGGGCACCCUCCUCUCCACCCUCCUCACGCCAAGGCAGCCAGCAGGACCCCUGAGCCAGCCUCGGGGCUGGAGGGCUUCGGGUUUUACUCUAAUGGUGCUGGGAUCGUCCGGCCAGAGACAAUGAAGUUGACCCCUGAUGCUGAGAUCCUGAGCCCCACGGGGUCACCACAUCCCCACGUCUGCCAUGACAACAGUCCCAGCUGCCCAGGGCUGGGGAAGGCCUGCCUGGCACCCCGCAUACCAGGAAGGAGCAUGAUUGGCU